rnacentral:misc_RNA from 1 species
GAGAUAAGGCGCUCGCGUAGAGCUGCCGUCUAUUCUUCUCACACUGUGAAACGGACAAAACCUUUUUUCACGCCAGUGAUGAAUGUGAAGUCUUAAUAUAAAAUAUA